AACUAAAAGGUUUUAAAAGGUAAAAAGCUAAAAGGUUUAAAAAAGGUAAAAAGCUAAAAGGUUUAAAAAAGGUAAAAAGCUAAAAGGUAAAAAGCUAAAAGGUUUAAAAAAGGUAAAAAGCUAAAAGGUUUAAAAAAGGUUAAAAAGGCUAAAAGGUUUCAAAAGGUAAAAAGCUAAAAGGUAAAAAGGUAAAAAGCUAAAAGGUUUAAAAAAGGUAAAAAGCUAAAAGGUAAAAAGCUAAAAGGUUUAAAAAAGGUAAAAAGCUAAAAGGUAAAAAGCUAAAAGGUUUAAAAAAGGUAAAAAGCUAAAAGGUAAAAAGCUAAAAGGUUUAAAAAGGUAAAAAGCUAAAAGGUAAAAAGCUAAAAGGUUUCAAAAGGUAAAAAGCUAAAAGGUUUAAAAAGGUAAAAAGCUAAAAGGUUUCAAAAAGGUAAAAAGCUAAAAGGUAAAAAGGUAAAAAGCUAAAAGGUUUAAAAAAGGUAAAAAGCUAAAAGGUAAAAAGCUAAAAGGUUUUAAAAGGUAAAAAGCUAAAAGGUUUAAAAAGGUAAAAAGCUAAAAGGUUUAAAAAAGGUAAAAAGCUAAAAGGUUUAAAAAAGGUUAAAAAGGCUAAAAGGUUUCAAAAGGUAAAAAGCUAAAAGGUAAAAAGGUAAAAAGCUAAAAGGUUUAAAAAAGGUAAAAAGCUAAAAGGUAAAAAGCUAAAAGGUUUUAAAAGGUAAAAAGCUAAAAGGUUUAAAAAGGUAAAAAGCUAAAAGGUUUAAAAAAGGUAAAAAGCUAAAUGGUAAAAAGCUAAAAGGUUUAAAAAGGUAAAAAGCUAAAAGGUUUAAAAAAGGUAAAAAGCUAAAAGGUAAAAAGGUAA